GGUCCAUGGGGGCAAGCUUGAACCACCCCGCCCGCGUGCAGAAAGACUGCGGUUUGUAUUGUAAAUUUCUUUUCCAGGGAGAGAACCUUGCUCACGNGUNGCGCAAUUGACGGUACCCUGGGAAUAAGCAUCGGCUAACUCCGUGCCAGCAGCCGCGGUAAUACGGAGGGGGCGAGCGUUAUCCGGAUUCAUUGGGUUUAAAGGAAGCGUAGGCGGAUUAUUAAGUCAGUGGUGAAAUCCUGCGGCUUAACUGCCGAACUGCCGUUGAUACUGAUAGCCUUGAGUUUGGUAGAGGAAGGCGGAAUGCCUAAUGUAGCGGUGAAAUGCUUAGAUAUCGGGCGGAACACCAAUGGCGAAGGCAGCUUACUGGCCCGACACUGACGCU
rnacentral:rRNA from 1 species